rnacentral:rRNA from 1 species
AUGCACUUGGAGAUGGACAUUCCUGUUGCUCAAUACGUAGCUCUGUGUGGAGUUACACUUGUGAUUGGAUGGCUAGUACACUGGGUAUACAAAUGGAUUAACCCGGUUUGCAACGGUGUUCUUCCUCCUGGCUCCAUGGGAUUCCCUAUUAUUGGUGAGACCUUGGACUUCCUCAAGGCAAGCUCUUCCCUGGACAUCCCAGACUUCUACAAACAAAGGAUGAAAAGGUACAGCCCGGUAUUCAAGACAAGCUUGCUUGGGCAGCCUGCGGUUAUUUCCACCGACGCGGAGGUCCAGGGGCGGAGCCAGAAAAUUUUGCCAUUGGGUUCAGUCAUUGACUUGUUAUAA